rnacentral:tRNA from 2 species
GCUCAGUUGGAUAGAGCAACGGCCUUCUAAGCCGUGGGUCGCAGGUUCGAAUCCUGCAGGGCGCGCCACUUAUA